AAACAUUACAGAUAGAAGAGAGAGAGAGUCAAGUCUAAUGAUGAUUAUCUCCAAAAGAGGCGACUGUUGCAAAGAAUUUUUGUCUGUUUGAGGCGUCCAUCAAAUCACUCUUAAAUGAAAAAGUUACUACUUGUAGUUGGGUAAGAGGGUCAUUAAAUUAAACGUUUUAUCACCUUGUCUAAAUAAAUUAUCGUUAUAAUAACCAUUUUUAUUUCUUAUCUCCAACUAAUAGCUGUUUUCUUUUAUCUCUCCUUUAAAGU
rnacentral:lncRNA from 1 species